ACUUCCAUAGCAUCUGGCUUCUGAAAACCGCUAAUAUUUCUUAAUGCUUUCCCAUGUAAACAGUCAAAAUAAUCGUGCCUUAAUUUAAAUAGCACUUGACAGUUGAUAGUAUAUUUUUAUCUGCAUAUCUUACUUGAUUUUCAUAAGAAACUUCCAGUGUAAAAGUGGCCCUGCCAAAAAAUAAAAGUGAACCUAGAAGUCAUUGUUAUACCCACUUCCAAGCUGAGAAAAUCGAGGCCUGAAUGAGUGAAGUGACUUACCAGAGAUUGAACAAUGGCCUUGUCUCAAAAGCCAGUUUUCUCAACAUGGAAGCUUGUUGGAAGGAUGUAAAAUAUGUAUUUAAUGACUCAUUAGCAAAAUGGAGAUUUUCCUUUAAGUAGUUCUUAUGAUACAGAUAACAACUAUGUUUUGUUGUUGUUGGUUUAUUUAUUUAUUUAUUUAUUUAUUUACUUACUUUUUUGAGAUGGAGUCUCACUCUGUCGCCCAGGCUGGGGUGCAAUGGCACAAUCUUGGCUCACUGCAAGCUAUGAGUAAGAAGGCGUGUUUUCACCGGAAGCCACAAGCUAAAGCAAAAUAGGCAAGAAGCAUAAACGGACUUGCUCAAAAGCCUCUCUCUUUCCUCAGAGCCCAGCUAGCCCACGUGUGCCUUUGUGAGACAGAAAAAGACAUCCUCUCCUCUGGAUUUCUGCCUGCUCACUGUCGGCCCUCAGCCAGGCCCCCUGGGCCUUGCCCUGCCCACACAGCCACACAGCAGCCAUGUUCCCCACCCAUGCAGCAAUUUCAAGUGUGGAUGACAAACACCUGGAGAGAAGCAGCAGCUGGUGUCAGAAGGAAUGACAGGGGAGGGGGACAAAGGAGGCAAGCCCAGGAAGCGAUUCUCCUGCCUCAGGCUCCUGAGUAGCUGAGAUUACAGGUGUGCGCCACCACACCCAGCCAAUUUUUAUAUACUUAAUAGAAACGACGUUUCACCAUGUUGCCCAGGCUGGUCUCAAACUCCUGAUCUCAAGUGACCUGCCCGCCUCAGCCUCCCAAAGUGCUGGGAUUACAGGUGUGAGAAUCAAAAUUGGCCAGGCACAGUGGCUCAUGCCUGUAAUCCUAGCAUUUUGGGAGGCUGAGGCAGGCGGAUUGCCUGAGCUCAGGAGUUCGAGACCAGCCUGGGCAAGACAGUAAAAAAAACGACUGUUUAGAAAUAUGGAGCUGCAAGAAGAAACCAGGACAAGUGGGAAAAAAUGGGCAUGGGACUACUGGAGUCUUCCACAAGCCAUUUAAAGAAUUCCUUUAUGUAUUCCUUUAAAGAGAUCAGACAAGCAGCAUACUCAGUGGGUCCAAUACACCAAUGGUGAAGGAGGGACAUUUAUUCAAAUCUACAAAGGGACAGAGCACGAGAGAGAAAAGAAGUGAUUUGCAAGAAAUGCCACACACAGAGACAAAGGAGAGUUUCAGUCAUGACACACACUGUCCUCCUGGCCUAUGUGCAGGCGACCACAGACCACCACUGCUUGUACACUUGGUGACCAAAACAAUCCCAUGUAGCAAAACAGCCUGACUUAGCUCUAGUCGUGAAGGCUAUGGAGACAUUCACCAGGAUGGAAACACUAAAAACAAAACAUCCCCUAAGACCAAAGAAGAGGAGAGCUUUCCUGAUCUUUUUCUUCAUAUAGUGUCUAGAGUCUUCCAUUUCUACCUUGGGAGCUGUCCAAAGAAAACCCAUCACACUCACCUAUGUCCUCGCUGGCAAACCUGACAAGCCUCCGUGCCACGUAGAGUGGGUCCUCUCCUCCCUCGAGCAUGCGAGCCAGCCAGUAGAGGGAGGCGUUCUGGUCUGAGCCCCGCAUGGACUUGUGCAGGGCGGAGAUGCAGUUGUAAUGCUCCUCACCUGACAUCACAAAGAGCACCACUCACACAGAGCUCACAGGAGGGGCGCCCAAGCCAUCUUCAC
rnacentral:lncRNA from 1 species